rnacentral:rRNA from 1 species
CCUACGGGUGGCUGCAGUGGGGAAUAUUGGGCAAUGGGCGAAAGCCUGACCCAGCAACGCCGCGUGAAGGAAGAAGGCUUUCGGGUUGUAAACUUCUUUUGACAGGGAAGAGCAGAAGACGGUACCUGUCGAAUAAGCCACGGCUAACUACGUGCCAGCAGCCGCGGUAAUACGUAGGUGGCAAGCGUUGUCCGGAUUUACUGGGUGUAAAGGGCGUGUAGCCGGGCUGACAAGUCAGAUGUGAAAUCCGGGGGCUCAACCCCCGAACUGCAUUUGAAACUGUUGGUCUUGAGUAUCGGAGAGGCAGGCGGAAUUCCUAGUGUAGCGGUGGAAUGCGUAGAUAUUAGGAGGAACACCAGUGGCGAAGGCGGAUUGCUAGACUGUAACUGACACUGAGGCACGAAAGCGUGGGGAGCAAACAGGAUUAGAUACCCGGGUAGUC